AUUGAACGCUGGCGGCAUGCCUUACACAUGCAAGUCGAACGGUAACAGGUCUUCGGAUGCUGACGAGUGGCGAACGGGUGAGUAAUACAUCGGAACGUGCCUAGUAGUGGGGGAUAACUACUCGAAAGAGUGGCUAAUACCGCAUGAGAUCUACGGAUGAAAGCAGGGGAUCGCAAGACCUUGUGCUACUAGAGCGGCCGAUGGCAGAUUAGGUAGUUGGUGGGAUAAAAGCUUACCAAGCAGACGAUCUGUAGCUGGUCUGAGAGGACGAUCAGCCACACGGGGACUGAGACACGGCCCAGACUCCUACGGGAGGCAGCAGUGGGGAAUUUUGGACAAUGGGCGCAAGCCUGAUCCAGCAAUGCCGCGUGCAGGAUGAAGGCCUUCGGGUUGUAAACUGCUUUUGUACGGAACGAAAAGCCCUGGGUUAAUACCCUGGGGUCAUGACGGUACCGUAAGAAUAAGCACCGGCUAACUACGUGCCAGCCGCCGCGGUAACAC
rnacentral:rRNA from 1 species